GCCAUUGUUAAGCACGAGAGCCCACCCUUUCGACAUUUCCCUGCUAAGGAGUCGAAGCAAGGAGAGCUAGUCAUAAGGCAUCUCCUAUUUCGUACAAGAUGGCCUAGGACAAAAUACGAAGCUUCGGCGAGAUAGAAGUAAUACAUUUUGAGUGCGAGGUUCCCUCGAUCCCCAUUCAAAAUCUUAAGUUUUCUUGCCCUAGCCCUAGUGUUUCUUCCUUGAGUUACAUUGCCGUGUUGAUCUUCAUCGGUCAUAAAUCAUUCAACUUUUCAAACAAAGCAAAGGGAUGAUCCUAUUUUUACUCAAGAGGCCAAGGAUGGACAAUCUGAACAAAUGAU